rnacentral:ncRNA from 1 species
CCAACGGGGUGUCCGGCACAAGCCGGGCUGAGAAUCACCCGCUGAACCUGAACCGGAUCAUGCCGGCGGAGGAAUCUGGAUA